rnacentral:rRNA from 1 species
AUUGAACGCUGGCGGCAUGCCUUACACAUGCAAGUCGAACGGUAACAGGUCUUCGGAUGCUGACGAGUGGCGAACGGGUGAGUAAUACAUCGGAACGUGCCCGAUCGUGGGGGAUAACGAAGCGAAAGCUUUGCUAAUACCGCAUAAGAUCUACGGAUGAAAGCAGGGGACCGCAAGGCCUUGCGCGAACGGAGCGGCCGAUGGCAGAUUAGGUAGUUGGUGGGAUAAAAGCUUACCAAGCCGACGAUCUGUAGCUGGUCUGAGAGGACGACCAGCCACACUGGGACUGGGACACGGCCCAGACUCCUACGGGAGGCAGCAGUGGGGAAUUUUGGACAAUGGGCGAAAGCCUGAUCCAGCCAUGCCGCGUGCAGGAUGAAGGCCUUCGGGUUGUAAACUGCUUUUGUACGGAACGAAAAGACUCUUUCUAAUAAAGAGGGUCCAUGACGGUACCGUAAGAAUAAGCACCGGCUAACUACGUGCCAGCAGCCGCAGUAAGAC